rnacentral:rRNA from 1 species
AUUGAACGCUGGCGGCGGGCCUAACACAUGCAAGUCGAGCGAGCGGCGGACGGGUGAGUAAUGUCUGGGAAACUGCCUGAUGGAGGGGGGUAACUACUGGAAACGGUAGCUAAUACCGCAUACUAUCAGCUGUGCCCAGAUGGGAUUAGCUAGUAGGGGGGGUAACGGCUCACCAAGGCAACGAUCCCUAGCUGGCCUGAGAGGAUGACCAGCCACACUGGAACUGAGACACGGUCCAGACUCCUACGGGAGGCAGCAGUGGGGAAUAUUGCACAAUGGGCGAAAGCCUGAUGGAGCCAGGCCGCGUGUGUGAAGAAGGCCUUCGGGUUGUAAAGCACUUUCAUCGGGGAGGCGUUACCCGCAGAAGAAGCACCGGCUAACUCCGUGCCAGCAGCCGCGGUAAUUC